CAAGUACUCCCUCCGUCCCAAAAUUCUUGUCUUAGAUUUGUCUAGAUACGAAUGUACCUGAUACUAUAUAUCCGUAUUUAGACAAAUCUAAGACAAUAAUUUUGGGACGGAGGGAGUAUUUC
rfam:Triticum aestivum genome assembly, contig: Triticum_aestivum_CS42_TGACv1_scaffold_321266_4BL